CUCCUCUUCCUCACUGCCAUCUCCUCCUCCUUGCCCUCUCCUUCUUUUUCUCAUCAUCAUCUUUUCCUUUCUGCCACCUUGUCUACCUCACCAUGACUUCCUCUUCCUCCUCAUGACCUUCACUUCAUCACCACCACCUCCUCUUCUUCAUCACCACCAACUUCUCUUCUUCCUCACCACUUCCUCUUCCUCACUUCCACCUCCUCCUGGUCCCCCCGCUGCCCCUUUCCAGCCCAAAGCCAAAGGCUGCUUCUCCCUCCACUCCUCCCCAGUCCUUUCUGGCGUUUCUGGCUGUUUCACGUCAGCUGCUGAUUCCAGAGGAUUUGGGAAUCCUGGGGUUUGGGGAACAUCUAGUUCAUGGGAUGGGGCUGGGAUCCUGCAGUGUCCCUGGGGAACACCACAGGGAUGGGGCUGGGAUCCUGGAAUCUCCCUGGGGAACAUCACAAGGACUAGAAUCUCCCUGGAGAGCAUCACAGGGAUGGGACGAGGACAAGGACACUGGAAUCUCCCUGGGGAACAUCCCAGGGACAGGACUGGGAUCCUGGAAUCUCCCUGGGGAGCAUCACAGGGACUGGAGUCCCCCUGAGGAACACCACAGGGAUGGGAUGAGGACAUUGGCAUCUCUUGGGGAACAUCACAGGGAUGGGACCAGGACCCUGGAAUCUCCCUGGAACCUCCCUGGGGAACACCCAGCUCCUUGGGGUGGAACUGGGACCCUGAAAUCUCUUGGGGAACAUCACAGGAAUGGGACCAGGAUGCUGGAAUCUCCAUGGGAAAUAUCCAGCUCCUCAGGGUGGGAGUGGGACCCUGGCAUCUCUUGGAGAACACCACAGGCAUGGGACCAGGACCCUGGAAUCUCCUUGGGGAACAUCACAGGGAUGGGACCAGGAGGCUGGAAUCUCCCUGGAAUCUCUCUGAGGAACAUCCCAGAGACUGGAAUCUCCCUGGGGAACACCCAUCUCCUCCAGGAUGGGAUGGGACACCGCCACUCCCUGGGGGACAGAUGUGCCAGCCAGCUGGGUCACCCAGCCUGCUCUCACUGGCCUGGGCUAAACUGGAAGCUCUGUUCACCUCAAUAACCCCUCUGGGGGUAAUUCCCCCCUCCCCAGGAGUCUGGAAUAGCAGGCAGGGAGGGGUGAGGGAAUCCCCUGGUCCCCUGCCGGCCCCGGGGUGGCACCGGCGGGCAGGAGGGGCGGGCAGCAGGCCCCGGGUUGUUACCUCGCAGCGUGGCCUUUCUCCAGAACCCGUCUCUCACCUCCACGUAGUCGUACCAGCACAGCCGGCUUCGGUACAGGUCCAGGGUGGUGAAAUUCAGGAUGAUCUAAGGGUGGGAAGGAGCAGGAGGAGCCUGGGGUGAGCUCCCCCUAUGGCCCAUCUGCCUGGAGCCGGGGGAACCUGGUGGAACCCAGACCCCACGAGGGAUGCUGGGGCUCGGGACACCCCAAAAGAAGGCUGGGAGGAGGCAGAGGAGGGCCGGGGGAGGGCGGGAGCCGUCACCCCAGCAGUCAGUACCUUCUCUCCAGGGGUGACCGAGAUCCUCCAGACGCAGUGCAUGUGGGCUGAGUAUCCAUUGGGGAAUUCUGGGGAGGAGAAGUUGCCCUGGCUGUCCUGGAGCGUCUCCCCACAGGCUGCAGAGGGAGAAAAGCGGGGUUCAGAGCCCUCAGAAAAGUGGGGGUGUUCAAACCCCCACUAUUCACCGUC
ensembl:lncRNA